rnacentral:rRNA from 1 species
AGAGUUUGAUCAUGGCUCAGAUUGAACGCUGGCGGCAGGCCUAACACAUGCAAGUCGAGCGGUAGCACAGAGAGCUUGCUCUCGGGUGACGAGCGGCGGACGGGUGAGUAAUGUCUGGGAAACUGCCUGAUGGAGGGGGAUAACUACUGGAAACGGUAGCUAAUACCGCAUAACGUCGCAAGACCAAAGUGGGGGACCUUCGGGCCUCAUGCCAUCAGAUGUGCCCAGAUGGGAUUAGCUAGUAGGUGGGGUAACGGCUCACCUAGGCGACGAUCCCUAGCUGGUCUGAGAGGAUGACCAGCCACACUGGAACUGAGACACGGUCCAGACUCCUACGGGAGGCAGCAGUGGGGAAUAUUGCACAAUGGGCGCAAGCCUGAUGCAGCCAUGCCGCGUGUGUGAAGAAGGCCUUCGGGUUGUAAAGCACUUUCAGCGGGGAGGAAGGCGAUAAGGUUAAUAACCUUGUCGAUUGACGUUACCCGCAGAAGAAGCACCGGCUAACUCCGUGCCAGCAGCCGCGGUAAUACGGAGGGUGCAAGCGUUAAUCGGAAUUACUGGGCGUAAAGCGCACGCAGGCGGUCUGUCAAGUCGGAUGUGAAAUCCCCGGGCUCAACCUGGGAACUGCAUUCGAAACUGGCAGGCUAGAGUCUUGUAGAGGGGGGUAGAAUUCCAGGUGUAGCGGUGAAAUGCGUAGAGAUCUGGAGGAAUACCGGUGGCGAAGGCGGCCCCCUGGACAAAGACUGACGCUCAGGUGCGAAAGCGUGGGGAGCAAACAGGAUUAGAUACCCUGGUAGUCCACGCCGUAAACGAUGUCGAUUUGGAGGUUGUGCCCUUGAGGCGUGGCUUCCGGAGCUAACGCGUUAAAUCGACCGCCUGGGGAGUACGGCCGCAAGGUUAAAACUCAAAUGAAUUGACGGGGGCCCGCACAAGCGGUGGAGCAUGUGGUUUAAUUCGAUGCAACGCGAAGAACCUUACCUGGUCUUGACAUCCACAGAACUUUCCAGAGAUGGAUUGGUGCCUUCGGGAACUGUGAGACAGGUGCUGCAUGGCUGUCGUCAGCUCGUGUUGUGAAAUGUUGGGUUAAGUCCCGCAACGAGCGCAACCCUUAUCCUUUGUUGCCAGCGGUCCGGCCGGGAACUCAAAGGAGACUGCCAGUGAUAAACUGGAGGAAGGUGGGGAUGACGUCAAGUCAUCAUGGCCCUUACGACCAGGGCUACACACGU